rnacentral:siRNA from 1 species
UUGAGUUCAGCUGUUGCCUU